rnacentral:rRNA from 1 species
AACGCAGCGAAGGGCGAUAGUAAUGUGAAUUGCAGAAUUCAGUGAAUCAUCGAAUCUUUAAACGCACCUUGCACCCUUUGGUAUUCCGAAGGGUACACCCGUUUGAGUGUCAUUGUAAUCUCACCCCAAAAUUCUUUUUUGGGUGUGGACUUGGAUGCUGCCGAUCCGUCGGCUCGUCUGGAAUGUCUCAGUGUACCCCGCUCGUCGGCGUAAACAGUGUGAUAAGUAUCUUCACUGGUCAGCCUCUCCGGAGGUGCGCUUUCAGGUGGGCUCCUGCGCUUACAACCGUCUUCGGACAAAUCUCUGACAAUUUGACCUCAAAUCGGGUGGGAUUACCCGCUGAACCUAA